GCCAGCAGCCAUAUUGCCCUGCAACUCAGAACUGGAUUGCCACUGAAUCUACUGUAAGCGGGUAUGAGCCCAGUCAGUACCUGAAUGAGAGACCGCCUGGGAAGAACUAAGGUUGCUGCUAGAA
rnacentral:rRNA from 1 species